rnacentral:tRNA from 1 species
UCCCUUGUAUCUCAGCUGGUAAAGAAUCUGCCUGUAAUGCAGGAGAAUCCCGGUUCGAUUCCAGGUUCAGGAA